GACGUAGGGCGCGAGCGUUGUCCGGAUUUAUUGGGCGUAAAGAGCUCGUAGGCGGCUUGUCGCGUCGACUGUGAAAUCCCGCGGCUCAACCGCGGGUCUGCAGUCGAUACGGGCAGGCUAGAGUUCGGUAGGGGAGACUGGAAUUCCUGGUGUAGCGGUGAAAUGCGCAGAUAUCAGGAGGAACACCGGUGGCGAAGGCGGUUCUCUGGGCAUGUCCUGACGCUGAGGAGCGAAAGCGAGGGGAGCGAACGGG
rnacentral:rRNA from 1 species